CAGCUCUGAGGGCCUUUGAAACAUCAAUUCUAAUUCCCAAGCUAGGAUAAAGGGAGCUAGGAGAAGGUUUGGAUGCUAUAAUAUUUAGAUCUAAAAUUUCUAAUAGUUAUUUGAUGACGCUGGGUCUCAUUUUUCUUGUAUCCAAAAUGAAAGCAUCAGAUCUAUUUGACAUUGAAUUUUUCUUCUUUCAUUAAAUCUCUCUGUAUGAUCUCACUCUCUGCAUGAAAGAAAAUCUGCAAAGUCAUGUAGCCAGAGCAUGUGCAGAAAAAGAAAUCUUGACCUGAAAUGACCGUGGAACCAAAGAUUCUCCUCUCCAAGGAACCAAAGGACCAGGACAUGACCAGAAUGUAAAAGUCAGACUCUUAUCAGAGGCCAAGGGUCCAUCAUUCAGGAAGAUCUGGUGUUAAAACUCCUUCCCCACCUUACCAUAAAAGUUUAGAGCUUCAUCAUAAAUAUUUAGAAUCCUGCCAUAAAUGCUUGAAGCCCGCCAAUCAAAACCUGUCCUGUCAACAUUUCCAAGUGCCAGCCUGUUCUCCCUAACCUCUUAAAUUUUGCCCCAAAUCCUGAAUUGGGGAGACAGAUCUGAGGGCACAUUCCCCCUGUCUCCUUGAAGAUUAAUCUCUGAGAAUAAAGCUGAAUUCUUUUCCCAAAUGCUGAUGCCAUGAUUGAUUGGCUUGUUUAUGUGCAUUGGGUAGGAGAACCCCAUUUUUGUGCAAUAACAACACUGUCUACCUGGAGGUAGCAUCAGAUUCCACAAAUUAAAGGUUCAUCUCUGCAAGACCACCCCCACCCCUUCCACUUCAGACACAAUUCGCAAGCCCAGGCUGUUACCUGUACUUCUUACCAAUCAGC
rnacentral:lncRNA from 1 species